GAGAGGACUGUCACAGGUCACAGAACUCGGCCCAGCUAAAAGUCCGCAGCCCCUGCACACCUCCGGGAACCCUUGUUCGUUGUUGUUGUGCAGGGAUGGGCUCCAGGCAGCUUCCUUUGUAAGGUGCCCCCCACCCCAGCCCGCGGGUCGAGCUGCCGGGGCAGGGAGCAAACACCCGCCCCAAGGUACUGGACCACCGGCGUCCCUCUGCCCAGGAAUUUAGGAUUGGGAUGGAGAAAAAGAAAACAGUGUUUAUGAAGAGCCAGAAAGCGUUCUGUUCCAACCCACACUCAACAGGAGAGCUUACACAAAGGCAUGAACACCAGAAAGCACCAGGAAGCAGAGAUCACUGGAGGCCAUCUUGGAGGCUGCUACCACUGGUGUGAAGAGGAGCUAAACAGAAGGACCAUGCCCACAGAAAAACCUAAAACCUGCUCUAGAGGUGAUGGCAAAGAGCUAGCAUGCAGAAAUUAGAAGUAAAGGAUUAUACGCACACAUGGUACCAUGGAUGCUUCUGAAAAACUUAGUGAAAAAAUGAACAGGAUGAAUUAUAGAACACAAUACCAUUAAUGUAAUUUCAAAAUGUAUGCAUACAG
ensembl:lncRNA